AAACCCCGAGAUAUCCGCCCCUUUUGUAAAGAGAAAAAAUGAGAAAUAAAACAACACAAGAAUUUAACGUGGAAACCCAAAACCGGGAAAAACCACAACAGUUGUCAAAAGACAACAACCGACCACUAUGUGAAAAAUUUUUACAAUCACAUAAACCUUAGUACUUUCUCCUAACAAAAAGUGUUAGAAAUACAUUUGGUUUGGUACAUUUGAAAACAUAAAUUAAGCCCCCUUAUAUAGGCAAGCCUCCAAGCUACUCUUUAACAUUUUUUCAAUGUGACACAAUGACCAUUCUCAUUUUUAAGCAAAAUCCCAACACCAAAAACUUUAUCUUUCUCCAUUUUCACAUCUGAUGAAACCAACACAACUUGUGUCCCACAAACCUCAUCAUAAAUUCUUUCAAAUUCCAUCAACACUUCAUUUACAAUCCCCACUUUAUUCUUCUCCACUAAAAACUUCAACAAGCCCACCAAGUGUUUGUGAAAUUUCCCCUUAGACAAUAUCUCCUUAAGAACAUACCCUUUUUCUUUAUCUUCCAAGAAAACAAAAGGGUCUUUUCUUAGCCAUUUAGACAUCUCUUUCAAGUGUUUCUAAUGAGUUGCUGGACUUAGCUAUAUCUACUAGUGCUGCAGCAUAACCACUUGAAGCUCUAGUAUGAGUUGUUUGAUGUCUUGAGGAGGAUUGUUUGAGUGCUAGAUUUUUAGAUGAACAGUAGUUGGGAUAUUGAAAUUCUUGGUAUGGAUAAAAGAGUUCGUUUUGUUUAAGAUUUUUUUAACUUGGUUUAGUGAAAGGGAAUAAGUGGUGAUUUGGAAAGUUGAAAUGAGAUGAGUAGAGGUCAGCCGAGUUCCUACACAGAGUUGGAACUUUUAGUGAAGAAACUGAGGUGGAGAGUGUAUCCAUUGGAAUUAAUUUGGUAAGGAAUUUUUGGGGAAGGGAAUGUAGAAUAGGUGAAGAAAGUGGAGAAGAGUUUUCUGAAAAUUGUGGUGGGAAUUAAUGCACGAGACACAAAAAAGAAAGGGAUAAUCUCGCAGCCACCAGUUGACCAAAUGUCAAAGCUAGCUUCUCUUGGGCUUUGUAAUUCCAGGCUAUGAAUUGUACUGUCUGGCCCAACAAUGAUUUUGCUCAACCCAUCUAUAAUCUAAAGCUUGAUGUCUGCUAUGGCAGUAUGCGUUCACGCAGGGUUCGGGAAAGGGCUGCACUCCAAGAGGUGUGAUGUAGAUAGUCUACCCUAACAUAAAUAUUAAUAACUGCUUUCACGACUCGAACCCGUGACCUAUAGAUCAUACGGUUAUGGUCUACUUGGAGACUACCAAAUGCCAAAUCUUGCGGGAUGGUGGUUUGGGGGGUGAGGUGGGGUGGAGAGGGGGGCAUGGGCGGAGCUAGGCGUUUUGGGCCACCCCUUCAUGAGAAAAUUACACUAUUUGUAUAAGGUAAAAGAAAAAUUUAUGUAUAUUAUUAGAUAUUGAAUUCUCUUGGCUUCUUUGUGUGUUUACUUUGUGUUUCAUUUUUUAAAUCUCCUGAUGAAAAUCCGGCAUCCGCCACUGGGAGGAUGUUACUAAGUUCCUAUAUAGAUUGUGCAUAGAGCGCGAAAUAUCACUGGAUUACAUAGAAAGGAUCUUCCUUUUGUGUAUUUGGGAUGCCCAACUCUGGUCGUAUGAGUUUGCUCACAUGGUCGGUCUCAAGCUUGGAUAAAGGUUGCGAUGGGCUAACAACUAACAUAAGACUAGUCAAUUCAUGUAAGCUGGAUUCAUUGUCUUCUGAAAGGCACAUAAGAACUUUUCUACCAAUAAAUGAAACAAUUAUGUAUCAUGAUUCUCUAAAAGAACAAAAUAAUUUGUUCAAUGACACUAUUUCCCCAACAUUUGAAAAGUCUUUUCAGAUUAAACCUGAUUUUUUCCUUUCCUAAUUCUUUCAUAUUCUACUUCAGCAUCUUUCAACUGUUCUUUCAGUUUAGUUAUUCCACUCUCCAGUUCUUCCGCUGAAGCUCGGACACGAGAAGGUCUGUACGGUGUUAGAAAAUGAUACUUGAAUGCUUUCAGAGCUUCAACACCACAAACCUAUCAAGAAAAUAACUUAGUAAUGUGAGUUACAGUUGGUUUGACAAGAAAUGUAUUGUAUACGCAUACCUUAUUUUCCCCUCCCCCUACGUUUAAGAGUGUAGAGAGGUUGUUUCCAGUAGACCUUCGGCUCAAGAAUAGAAGGGAGAAUAGAAUCAUGU
rnacentral:lncRNA from 1 species